ACUCCUACGGGAGGCAGCAGUGGGGAAUAUUGCACAAUGGGCGCAAGCCUGAUGCAGCCAUGCCGCGUGUAUGAAGAAGGCCUUCGGGUUGUAAAGUACUUUCAGCAGUGAGGAAGGUGAGUGUAGUUAAUAGGCUGCUAUUAUUUUGACGAUUAGACAUGCAGAACGGAAGACACCGGCUAACUCCGUGCCAGCAGCCGCGGUAAUACGGAGGGUGCGAGCGUUAAUCGGAAUUACUGGGCGUAAAGCGCAUGCAGGUGGUUUGUUAAGUCAGAUGUGAAAGCCCGGGGCUCAACCUCGGAAUAGCAUUUGAAACUGGCAGACUAGAGUACUNUAGAGGGGGUAGAAUUUCAGGUGUAGCGGUGAAAUGCGUAGAGAUCUGAAGGAAUACCGGUGGCGAAGGCGGCCCCCUGGACAGAUACUGACACUCAGAUGCGAAAGCGUGGGGAGCAAACAGGAUUAGAUACCCUGGUAGCUACG
rnacentral:rRNA from 1 species